rnacentral:rRNA from 1 species
GACGAACGCUGGCGGCGUGCUUAACACAUGCAAGUCGAACGGAAAGGCCCUGCUUUUGUGGGGUGCUCGAGUGGCGAACGGGUGAGUAACACGUGAGUAACCUGCCCUUGACUUUGGGAUAACUUCAGGAAACUGGGGCUAAUACCGGAUAGGAGCUCCUGCUGCAUGGUGGGGGUUGGAAAGUUUCGGCGUUUGGGGAUGGACUCGCGGCUUAUCCGCUUGUUUGGGGGGUAGUGGCUUUCCAAGCAUUUGACGGAUAGGCGGCCUGGGAGGGUGACCGGCCACAUUGGGACUGAGAUACGGCCCAGACUCCUACGGGAGGCAGCAGUGGGGAAUAUUGCACAAUGGGCGGAAGCCUGAUGCAGCAACGCCGCGUGCGGGAUGACGGCCUUCGGGUUGUAAACCGCUUUCGCCUGUGACGAAGCGUGAGUGACGGUAAUGGGUAAAGAAGCACCGGCUAACUACGUG